rnacentral:tRNA from 1 species
GGAGGGGUGGCUGAGUGGACGAAAGCGGCGGCCUUGAAAGCCGUUGAAGGCCUCGUGUCUUCCGUGGGUUCGAAUCCUACCCCCUCCGCCA